AUUGAACGCUGGCGGCAGGCCUAACACAUGCUAGUCGAGAGGAGCGGCGGACGGGUGAGGAAUGCCUAGGAAUCUGCCUGGUAGUGGGGGAGAACGUCCGGAAACGGGCGCUAAUACCGCAUACUAUCAGAUGAAGCUGGGUCUGUUUAGAUGGAUGGUGGGGUAAAGGCCUACCAAGGCGACGACCCGUAACUGGUCUGAGAGGAUGAUCAGUCACACGUGAACUGAGACACGGUCCAGACUCCUACGGGAGGCAGCAGUGGGUAAUAUUGUACAAGGGGCGAAAGCCUGAUCCAGCCAUGCCGCUUGGGAGAAGAAGGGCUUAGGAUUGUAAAGCACUUUAAGUUGGGAGGCGUUACCAACAGAUUAAGCACCGGCUAACUUCGUGCCAGCAGCCGCGGUAAUAC
rnacentral:rRNA from 1 species